GACGGAGGAUGCAAGCGUUGUCCGGAAUCAUUGGGCGUAAAGCGCGUGUAGGCGGCUAGGUAAGUCUGCUCUGAAAGCCCGGGGCUCAACCCCGGGAGGCGGGUGGAUACUGUCUAGCUCGAGUCCGGAAGAGGAGUGUGGAAUUCCUGGUGUAGCGGUGAAAUGCGCAGAUAUCAGGAGGAACACCAAUGGCGAAGGCAGCACUCUGGGACGGUACUGACGCUGAGACGCGAAAGCGUGGGGAGCGAACAGG
rnacentral:rRNA from 1 species